GAAACGACUGCUAAGACUGGAUAGGAAAUAAAAAGGCAUCUUUUUAUUUUUAAAAGACCUUUUUCGGAAGGUAUGCUUAAAGAGGGGCUUGCGUCACAUUAGUUAGUUGGCAGGGUAAAGGCCUGCCAAGACUAUGAUGUGUAGCUGGACUGAGAGGUUGAACAGCCACAUUGGGACUGAGACACGGCCCAAACUCCUACGGGAGGCAGCAGUAGGGAAUUUUCGGCAAUGGAGGAAACUCUGACCGAGCAACGCCGCGUGAACGAUGAAGUAUUUCGGUAUGUAAAGUUCUUUUAUUGAAGAAGAAAAAAUAGUGGAAAAACUAUCUUGACGAUAUUCAAUGAAUAAGCCCCGGCAAACUAUGUGCCAGCAGCCGCGGUAAUACAUAGGGGGCGAGCGUUAUCCGGAAUUAUUGGGCGUAAAGGGUGCGUAGGCGGUUUAAUAAGUCUAUAGUUUAAUUUCAGUGCUUAACACUGUCCUGCUAUAGAAACUAUUAGACUAGAGUGAGAUAGAGGCAAGUGGAAUUCCAUGUGUAGCGGUAAAAUGCGUAAAUAUAUGGAGGAACACCAGAGGCGUAGGCGGCUUGCUGGGUCUUUACUGACGCUGAGGCACGAAAGCGUGGGGAGCAAACAGGAUUAGAUACCCUGGUAGUCCACGCCGUAAACGAUGAGUACUAAGUGUCGGGAUUACUCGGUACUGAAGUUAACACAUUAAGUACUCCGCCUGAGUAGUACGUACGCAAGUAUGAAACUUAAAGGAAUUGACGGGACUCCGCACAAGCGGUGGAUCAUGUUGUUUAAUUCGAAGAUACACGAAAAACCUUACCAGGUCUUGACAUACUCUGCAAAGCUAUAGCAAUAUAGUGGAGGUUAUCAGGGAUACAGGUGGUGCAUGGUUGUCGUCAGCUCGUGUCGUGAGAUGUUAGGUUAAGUCCUAAAACGAGCGCAACCCUUGUCAUUAGUUGCCAGCAUGUCAUGAUGGGCACUUUAAUGAGACUGCCAAUGAAAAAUUGGAGGAAGGUGAGGAUCACGUCAAAUCAUCAUGCCCCUUAUGAUCUGGGCUACAAACGUGAUACAAUGGCUGUUACAAAGAGUAGCUGAAACGCAAGUUUAUAGCCAAUCUCAUAAAAGCAGUCUCAGUUCGGAUUGAAGUCUGCAACUCGACUUCAUGAAGUUGGAAUCGCUAGUAAUCGCGAAUCAGCAUGUCGCGGUGAAUACGUUCUCGGGGUUUGUACACACCGCCCGUCA
rnacentral:rRNA from 1 species